rnacentral:rRNA from 1 species
AUUGAACGCUGGCGGCAUGCCUAACACAUGCAAGUCGAACGGUAGCAUGACUUAGCUUGCUAAGUUGAUGACGAGUGGCGAACGGGUGAGUAACGCGUAGGAAUAUGCCUUAAAGUGGGGGACAACUUGGGGAAACUCAAGCUAAUACCGCAUAAUGUCUAAGGACAAAGGCUGGGGACCUUCGGGCCUGGCGCUUUAAGAUUAGCCUGCGUACGAUUAGCUAGUUGGUGGGGUAAGGGCCUACCAAGGCGACGAUCGUUAGCUGGUCUGAGAGGAUGGCCAGCCACACUGGAACUGAGACACGGUCCAGACGCCUACGGGCGGCAGCAGUGGGGAAUAUUGGACAAUGGGGGCAACCCUGAUCCAGCAAUGCCGCGUGUGUGAAGAAGGCCUGAGGGUUGUAAAGCACUUUCAGUGGGGAGGAGGAUUGAUAGGUUAAGAGCUGAUUGAUUGGACGUUACCCACAGAAGAAGCACAGGCUAACUCCGUGCCAGCCGCCGCCGUAA